CAGCCGCCACGGGAAUACAGAGGGUGCAAGCGUUAAUCGGAUUUACUGGGCGUAAAGGGCGCGUAGGUGGUUAUGUAAGUGAGAUGUGAAAUCCCCGGGCUCAACCUGGGAAUGGCAAUGGAUACUGGCGAGCUAGAGUGUGUCAGAGGAUGGUGGAAUUCCCGGUGUAGCGGUGAAAUGCGUAGGGAUCGGGAGGAACAUCAGUGGCGAAGGCGGCCAUCUGGGACAACACUGACGCUGAGGCACGAAAGCGUGGGGAGCAAACAGGAUUAGAGACCCCGGUAGUCCCUGUCUCUUAUAC
rnacentral:rRNA from 1 species